rnacentral:rRNA from 1 species
UGUCAGCCGCCGCGGUAAUACCCGCUCCCCGAGUGGUGGAGGCUAUUACUGGGCCUAAAGCGCCCGUAGCCGGCCCGGUGUGUCCCUCGUUAAAUCCACGGGCUUAACCCGUGGGCUGCGGGGGAUACUACCGGGCUUGGGGGUGGGAGAGGCGCCCGGUAUUCCCGGGGUAGGGGUAAAAUCCUCUGAUCCCGGGAGGACCAUCAGUGGCGAAGGCGGGGCGCCAGAACACGCCCGACGGUGAGGGGCGAAAGCUGGGGGAGCAAACGGGAUUAGAUACCCCGGUAGUCCCAGCUGUAAACGAUGCGGGCUAGCUGUCGGGGCGGCUACGGGCCGCCCCGGUGGCGAAGGGAAGCCAUUAAGCCCGCCGCCUGGGGAGUACGGCCGCAAGGCUGAAACUUAAAGGAAUUGGCGGGGGAGCAC